rnacentral:lncRNA from 1 species
CCUGGUUGCCUUGUAACUAAUCCUUACCUACUCAGUGAUAUGGCCUCCCAAAGUACAGGUGUUUGGUUCACUAUUGGUUUAUCUUUUCUUUAUUUUUUUUUUCUUUUUCAGACUGUCAUCUGAACGGAGGGUUGACAAUGCUGACCAUCACAAUGUUUUAAUGGCUUAUCACUCAACCAACUCUUACACCAUCAUAAAACCUCUUAACUCUCGGAAAAACAAUAGGCUUGUGCACCCAGUGAUUGGGUACAGACCAAUAGCAUGGCAAACGACUUUCCACAGACUGGCAACCUCCCGGCUUCUAGUAAAUUACCCAGAGCCCUAUCGUUCUGAAAUACUGGAUUAUCUAUUUAAGCCAAACUUCGGUGCCUCUCUGCAUAUUCUAAAAGUGGAAAUAGGUGGCGAUGGACAAACAACAGACGGCACUGAACCCUCCCACAUGCACUAUGAGCUAGAUGAGAAUUAUUUCCGAGGCUAUGAGUGGUGGCUAAUGAAGGAAGCUAAGAAGAGGAACCCAAAUAUUAUACUUAUGGGGUUGCCAUGGUCAUUCCCUGGAUGGCUGGGCAAAGGCUUCAGUUGGCCUUAUGUAAAUCUUCAGCUGACUGCCUUCUAUAUUGUGAGAUGGAUUUUGGGUGCCAAGCAUUAUCAUGACCUGGACAUUGAUUAUAUUGGGAUAUGGAAUGAAAGGCCGUUUGAUGCCAACUAUAUAAAGGAAUUAAGAAAAAUGCUUGAUUAUGAAGGUCUCCAGCGAGUGAGAAUCAUAGCAAGUGAUAAUCUCUGGGAGCCAAUUUCCUCUUCUGUGCUGCUU